rnacentral:rRNA from 1 species
AAUUUUGCGCAAUGGGGGAAACCCUGACGCAGCGACGCCGCGUGGAGGAUGAAGGCCUUCGGGUCGUAAACUCCUGUCAGAGGUGAAGAAUGCCCGCAAGGGUUUGACGGUAACCUCAGAGGAAGCCCCGGCUAACUACGUGCCAGCAGCCGCGGUAAUACGUAGGGGGCGAGCGUUGCUCGGAAUUACUGGGCGUAAAGGGUGUGUAGGUGGCUGAUCAAGUCAAAGAUGAAAUCCCGAGGCUCAACUUCGGAAUUGUCUUUGAAACUGGUCGGCUUGAGGCUAGUUGAGGAGAGCGGAAUUCCCGGUGGAGCGGUGAAAUGCGUAGAUAUCGGGAGGAACACCUGAGGCGUAGGCGGUUCUCUAAACUUGUCCUGACACUGAGACACGAAAGCUAGGGGAGCAAACGGGAUUAGA